GAUGAACGCUGGCGGCGUGCCUAACACAUGCAAGUCGAACGAGAUGCGUAUUGGAAAGCUUCGGCCGGAAGAUGCGUUAUCUAGUGGCGGACGGGUGAGUAACACGUGGGUAACCUGCCUUAUGGAGGGGGAUAACAGAGAGAAAUCACUGCUAAUACCGCAUAAGCACACAUUGCCGCAUGGCAGAGUGUGAAAAGAUUUAUCGCCAUAAGAUGGACCCGCGUCUGAUUAGCCAGUUGGCAGGGUAAAAGCCUACCAAAGCAACGAUCAGUAGCCGAUCUGAGAGGAUGACCGGCCACAUUGGGACUGAGACACGGCCCAAACUCCUACGGGAGGCAGCAGUGGGGAAUAUUGCACAAUGGGGGAAACCCUGAUGCAGCGACGCCGCGUGAGUGAAGAAGUAUUUCGGUAUGUAAAGCUCUAUCAGCAGGGAAGAUAAUGACAGUACCUGACUAAGAAGCCCCGGCUAACUACGUGCCAGCCGCCGCCGUAACAC
rnacentral:rRNA from 1 species